GUUUAGCCCAGACUGCAAUGGAAAGCCUUGCCGGAUAAAAACUAUUUUUAUGGCAAAUUGCAGAGCGACCAACGGAAGCUCCUGCAAUUGUCUAAUAAAAAAGGUUUUAGACAAAAGCUUGCAAUGAAAGGCUGGAAAUAGC
rfam:Flavobacterium frigoris strain DSM 15719 genome assembly, contig: Ga0131223_110